CACCUUGCGAUCCUUGGUCGAGCCAUUUUUAUCUUCCAGCAUCCAAUUGGCAAGAUCAUCCCUUGGACCAUCAAUGCCCACAAGGUGUGCUUCAUCAACAAAAAGAGCAGACAAGCGAGGAUCCACAGCCGAAUGUUCAAAGAGUCUUGAGCCGGCGAGCAGUCUUGCGGAAGAACUCCUUAAAGCCACCCUGGUGCUGGUGGCCCUCGUUACUGAGCUGGUGGAUGAACUUGUCGAUGACAUCCUCAAUGUCAUAGGUCAGCUCGGAUUUGAGAGAGCGGAUCUCGCGGCGGACGCCUUUGAGGCGGGCACACUCACCGGCGAGCAAACCGGGAUCUCUCUAUUCCUCGCUCGAACCCAUCUCUCCCUGGGUUCGUGCUUGGUGUGCUCAGAGUGGAGAGAAGAGCAGGAAGAGGACUGAAUAAUGGGGUUCGUACUAGCUGCAAGAUUCCUUGAGAUUUGCUUUAGAUCGGCCUAACCAUGGCUGUAGCUGUGGACAGUGCGCAGCGUCACUCAUGUCGGCUUCACGGCUCUGUACGCCUUGACUGGUAGUCUCCUACCACAGUUUAACCUAUGGCAGCAGAUGGGUACAAAGAAUUAAGCACAAUGGCCCAUAUGCAAGUGACUCUUGAAGAAAAUGAGGGUACAUCUCAAAGAUAAGUAUGCUUCUCACACACAUUAUCUCACCUCUUGUCAUGUCAUGACUUUAUCAAAAGCAGAAAAAGGUAGUGGAAUAAUUGAGCAUGCUGUCCUACUGCCAGUGACUUAUCACUGGAGGCCAAGAUUUGAACGAUCAUUGAGCAAGGAAGUAUCCAAUGCUAGACUUCGCAGGCGACUGGUUCUGGUGUAGCCGUAUAUGUUUCAUGCACAGUCACCACACAAAUGGUGAAACCGACGAAUGAAUUCACCCAGCGUUCACUUCUGUCAAGAAACAAGACACUCAAAGUGGAAUAUAAAAACUCCAGCAGCGGCAUGUUCUCACCGAAUCAUAUCAACCCUGAAUUAAGCCUGUGCUGCAUUGCAGGGUGCAGACUAUCUUGCUGUACCUAGUGGACACGGACCUGAAGCUGGGCCGGUGGCGCCGCACCUGGAGCGGUUGGGGG